AAACCAUGAUAGGGAAACUAUCUCUGUAGAUCUUUGAACCUUUCCCAAGCUUCAUAUAAGGACUUAUCAUUCCUUUGGUAAAUAAUGGCAAUCUCAUUUCUCAAUUU